rnacentral:rRNA from 1 species
CUAGAGAUAGAAGUUACUUCGGUACAUCGGUGACAGGUGGUGCAUGGUUGUCGUCAGCUCGUGUCGUGAGAUGUUGGGUUAAGUCCCGCAACGAGCGCAACCCCUAUUGUUAGUUGCCAUCAUUCAGUUGGGCACUCUAGCGAGACUGCCGGUAAUAAACCGGAGGAAGGUGGGAUGACGUCAAAUCAUCAUGCCCCUUAUGACCUGGGCUACACACGUGCUACAAUGGUUGGUACAACGAGUUGCGAGUCGGUGACGGCGAGCUAAUCUCUUAAAGCCAAUCUCAGUUCGGAUUGUAGGCUGCAACUCGCCUACAUGAAGUCGGAAUCGCUAGUAAUCGCGGAUCAGCACGCCGCGGUGAAUACGUUCCCGGGCCUU